CCUACGGGUGGCAGCAGUAGGGAAUAUUGCUCAAUGGGGGAAACCCUGAAGCAGCAACGCCGCGUGGAGGAUGAAGGUUUUCGGAUUGUAAACUCCUUUUGUUAGAGAAGAUAAUGACGGUAUCUAACGAAUAAGCACCGGCUCACUCCGUGCCAGCAGCCGCGGUAAUACGGAGGGUGCAAGCGUUACUCGGAAUCACUGGGCGUAAAGAGCGCGUAGGCGGGAUAGCAAGUCAGCUGUGAAAUCCUAGGGCUUAACCAUAGAACUGCAUUUGAAACUGGUAUUCUAGAGUAUGGGAGAGGUAGGUGGAAUGCUUGGUGUAGGGGUAAAAUCCGUAGAGAUCGAGAGGAAUACUCAUUGCGAAGGCGACCUGCUAGCACAUAACUGACGCUGAUGCGCGAAAGCGUGGGGAGCAAACAGGAUUAGAUACCCUAGUAGUC
rnacentral:rRNA from 1 species